UAAAACUUUCUAUGGUUAAAGACACUCCCAAGUCACAAAAUUUACAGCCAAAUUUCACUUUAAUCACCUAAUCUUCAUUUUUUGUCUCUUCAUCCAUCUCCAGUAAAUUGAAUGUGGCAGACAACAAUGAUUCUAACCCUACUGUACUCGGUGGCAAUAAAACUUUAGCACACAUUCUCACAAACGCGGUGAUCAGUACAAUAAACGAGAUUUUAGCUCUUGUUUUCUUUUAAUAUUCUGCACUAUGAAGUCCAUCUUAACAAACAUGCCAUUCCGGUCUGUAGAGACUUACUGGGAUCAGAUGUGACUGUGUAGGCAGUGCCUGAAAAAUCACAGGCUGUUGGGGUUUGGCCUUUCUUUUGGAAAUAACUGUUGACAGCAUAGUUGCAGUGAGCCCUCACAGUAUUUGGGUUAAAACAAGGUCCAUUUUGGUGGGUGGGGUUGCAAUCAGCCCCUGCACCACAUGCAUAAUCCAGUGUUUUUUGCAAGGCUUGAUCACUCAGUCCCUCCUUGCAAAUGCACCAAGUUGCACCUACCAAAAUACCACAAUAAAUGAGAAGAAAUUUAAACAAUAAGGGCAUGUGUUGGCUAAGCUUUUUUCUUACUUCUUGAAGAUACAAUGCGAGGAUCCUACAACCCAAAAAAGUUAAAAUAAAAGAGAAGAUAAUGAAAAGAUCCAUUUGCAUUCACAUCCACCCAUGUGCAGGAAAAUUUAAGAAAUAAAUUAGAGGAUAAUCAAGAAUGCUUUGCAGUAACGCAUUUUGUUUGGCGUGGUAUUAUGGAAUUUUUUCAGAAACUAGUUUAGUAAACGCAAAAGAACAUCUUAUGAAUUUAUUUAUUUUUUCUCUAAAUGCAUUAUAUUUUAUGCAUAUUUAAGCCUUAGAAAAUAGUAAAAAAGGACAGAAAUUGUAGUUGUAAAAUGCUUACUUGAAUGAGCAGCCAUGGCUAAAAUGAGAACCAGAACCAGAACCAAAAAUCUAGCCAUGAGAAAAGGGAUUACACACAAUGUUGAGAAAGAAAAUGCUGAGAAAUAGAGGAUUGUAAGGAAAUAGAAGACGAGAUGAGUGAGAGAGUAACUGUGUGUUCUGUGUGUCAAUGUGAGAGAGAGAUAUAAAAGGGUGAGGGUGAGAUACAAAAGGGUGAGAGAGAGAUAUAUAAGGGUGUAUUGAAUAUGGUGAAUGCUAGUGGGGAUGCAGGUGGCCCAGGCUGGUAUACACUGCCGGCUUGCUACGUUGUGCUUGUUGUUAUUUGAAUUUAGAGCUUUAUUUAUCCAAAAAAAAAAUGUACGAUAAGGGUAAAAUCGUCUUUAUAAAUUUGUUAGGCAACCGGAACUCAAGUGCUACAAAAAUAGAAUGUUGACGGUAGGACUGUAAGCAAAAAUCGCAAAAUUUAAAAAUCGAAUUGAAAUCGCAUCUUAGAAAUCGUGGGUUUGGUGCCAUGUGGACCAGGUCAACGAAAUGGUUUUGACCCAAACCAAAUCGGUCAAAAUGGUUUGGUUUAGGUUUGAAAAUUUUAAUUGCGGUUUAAAAUCAAACCGGACUGGCGAAAAAAUACAUAAAAAUAAAAAAAUGAAAUUUUUUGAAAAUUCAUCCAAAUAUGUAAAAUUCAAUAGUUUUGUCAUUUGUUAAUAUUUUUGUCAAUUCCUAAUUUUCUAAUAUUGAUAUAUUAUUAUUAUUAUUAUUCAAUAAUCCUAAUAUAUAUUUAAUAAUUUUAAGACUAACAUAAUCUAUCAAAAGUCUUUUUCCUUUUCAAAAUUUAGAUGAAUUUCAGUCGACACCCAACACAGUUUUGAGCCACCGGCACCACACACUUCUUUUCAGAUUUUUCACGCAUUUUCAAAGUUGAAUUGAAGUCCAUUAUACCAAAUCGGAGACAAAGAGAUUCUAGACUUUCGGUGAUAAUAUUUGCUUCAAAUAAAGUUUCAGAUCAAUAAUUUUUUGGAGCAAACUAAGGUAAGAAUCUGAAAUUAAAUGUGUUUCGUAACAUCAUACAAACGUAAACUUGUGUAAUUGUUAUGUUUAGAUAUUAUAAACAAUUGCUUUAUUAUUGUAGUUGGUUAUUCUCUUUGUUUAAUCAAUAUAUUUUUUUCAGAUAUGAUGAUCAUAAAGUCUUGUUGGAUAUCAUUAUGUUUUUUGAACCUUAUAUCUAGUUUAAUAGAUUUGUAUUGUAACGUUAUUGUAUCGUCAUUAGCCUAAAAANNNNNNNNNNNNNNNNNNNNNNNNNNNNNNNNNNNNNNNNNNNNNNNNNNNNNNNNNNNNNNNNNNNNNNNNNNNNNNNNNNNNNNNNNNNNNNNNNNNNNNNNNNNNNNNNNNNNNNNNNNNNNNNNNNNNNNNNNNNNNNNNNNNNNNNNNNNNNNNNNNNNNNNNNNNNNNNNNNNNNNNNNNNNNNNNNNNNNNNNNNNNNNNNNNNNNNNNNNNNNNNNNNNNNNNNNNNNNNNNNNNNNNNNNNNNNNNNNNNNNNNNNNNNNNNNNNNNNNNNNNNNNNNNNNNNNNNNNNNNNNNNNNNNNNNNNNNNNNNNNNNNNNNNNNNNNNGAACAAGUGGUUGCUUAUAUGAGAGACCUAAAGUAAUAUGAUCAAGGGUAUGCAUCAGAAUAGAUUGGUUGUUUCUAUAUGUAGAAAAAGUAGGUCAAGUUUGAUUUUAUUAACUUAGUUUUGGUUGGGACAAUGCAACUACUAGAUUUGAUAAAAUGUGCAUGUGCCAUCAUUUCUUUUCCAUAAAAUGGUGUGUGCAUAUAUAGAAUUUGAAAGCAUUUCUUUCUAGGCAAUUUACAGUAGCGGUGGACGAAACUAUGGAAGAGGUAAAAUUCCUUUACACAAAUGAGACUGUAUUGUGAUUAUAUAAUCUAAAUAUAAUUCUCCCUUGUAUUGUCACAAUAAUUAUCAAACCCAUCAAUAUGAAAUUCCAUUAGUAUGUUCUAUUUCCAAAAAGUAAUCCAUCCUUCAUACUAAUAGUUUGGAAUUUUAUUGGGACACAAUGAAUCUUCAAAUCACAUCUCUCAUCAAUCUUUAACAUUUUGACACGAUAACAUUAUCUUAAAAAUAACACGGCACGGGCGAAUGACUAGUAAAUAAUUCAAUUGAUAAUUAGUUUGUUGGGGGUGGUGAUGUGAGAAAGAAUUUUGGGGUUGUAUCAACUAUCAAUCGGACAUAAGAUUGGAUGAGGAGUUGAAUCCAAACUUUGAUAUACCCUGAUGAUUAUUGGAUGGGUAAAUUAUGUAAAAAUAAUAUGAAAUGUGUACUAAGAAGAUCAAGAUUGUAAUUCAUUUAUCCAUAAACUGAUGAGCAAAUGAAUAGACUUUAUUCUUGCUUAUUAUGAAUCUCUGUGGUAGAAUGACUCGACUAAGAUAAGAUGUUACACAUUCAUUUGCUUGUUGAGCACUAGUGUUCGCCUUGUUGAUAAGGGGCACAUGUGGGAAUCACUUUAUGCCAUUAAGAAGUUGAGCACAGGGUGUACAAUAGUAUGAGCUGUAAGGCACAUACAGGGUAAGACAUGGCAUUUGCAACAUAUCAUGCCUCACAGUUUGCUGAUACAUCAUAAUUUGCUCUCCGAGUAUGUAGUUUGUCCGAGCUCUUAAGUACUAUUAGGUUAGCAUGAGCUCUUAGAUGACGUGACGGAUGAUGCUACAAUGGGAUCGACUGUCGAUAAUGGGUUUGCCAAGAUUGUUGAAGUUACACUUAUUUCUAUAAAUAAGAGAAUGACUUAUUGAUUUAGAUUUAAAUGAGUUUCUUGAGAAUUUUGUUAACGGGAUUAUUUAUUCUUGUACGGUUAUAGCUUUCCAUAUGAUGAGAUCUGUUACAAUUUCUAGUUUGACAUCAAAUUAUCUUAUCAUCCGUUUGAGUGCAAAGAUGAAAUUCAAUUGAAUUGAAAAUGAAUUCUAGGGAAUUGAAUUGUCUAUAAAUUAUUUUUCUGAAAAUUGUAAAUUAUUGUAUUUAAUUGAUAUAAUUUUUAACGUGAAAAAUGUUGAAAUAAAAGUGUUUUUUAUAUUCGUUUGACUUUCUUUUACAUGUAAAUUGUCAAUUAAAAAGAUAAAAUUUACUGAUAUUGGAUAUGAAAUUUGUUUUCAUUGUCAACAAAAAUAAUUAAGAAAAUUCAAAGAAAUCAUCUAUCUUUUAGUAUUCAUUUGACUUUAUUUUACAUGAAAAUUGUCAAUAAAAGGAAAAAAAUUUUUACAAUAAUUCUUAGAAUUUAUUUCCAUUGCCAAAAUAAUAAUAAUAAUAAAUAAAUAAAUCGCUACAGUAAUCAAGAAUUCCAAUUUUCACCAUUUUGGUAAGAAUUCCAAUUCCAUGAUUUCAUGAAAAAUGUUGACGUGAUAGGUAAGUGAGAAUUUUAAUUCCAUGGAAAAUUUUGGACAACCAAACAACCAAAAGUUGGAAAAUCCAUUUUCCAUGGAAAAAGUGGAACAAUCAAACACUACCUUAGUGAAAAAAAUGAUGGAGAAAGGAAUUGUAAGAUUAUAUGGGGGCUGCGACUGAGAUUUGUUAGUGAAAACCCCAUGGGAUUAAAUUAACAGAACUUCAGUUAUUAUAAUGCAUAUGUGGACUAGUAGACAAACUAGAUUGCAAACCAUAAGUACAUAAAAAAACAAAAUUAAGAUUAUCUUAAAAUAUAGAAUCACAUGCAUAUUCAUUUCUGCACAUCGUCACUUUUCUGAUAUGGAUCUUGAAUAGCCUGCACCUCCCAUGAAGAAACAUUCCUCUUUCUUAAGCCCACCAGUAAACAAGUACCGAGAACACGAGGAUAAUGGAGGGUAAGAGGAUGUUUUUUGGUAGUAAUAUCCCAGCAUCACUCAUGUCAGUGUUCAUGCCUGAGGGGCCUAAGCCGUUGCUACUGCCACCUAGUAUGCCAGUGGAAGGAGUUGUCACAACAGGUGAACCACCACUGGGCAGGCUGGUGGAAGGUGUAUUGGUUGUGGUUGAUACCGGCCUGGUGGCGCCGCUGAAACAAGUAAAUGACAAGAGUUACUUGAAAGAUUCAGACCAAAACAUAGGAAAGUUAUGACAGAUUAAGGUGAAUGAUUCUGGGAAAGUAGUUACGCACGUUGAUAAUCAAAUGAUUAGAUACUUAUGAUAUUUCAACACAGGCCAGGAAACAGAAUUAUUUGCAUAUUUCCUCUCUAGCCUUUCCACCGGUGUUCAACUACUAAACUAGACAUCAACAGCCUUUUGGGAUAUCAUAAAACAAACUAAUUCUCCUUUGCAAUAAAUUUCAAGUCGACCCAUGAAAUCUUUUGAUGCCACUCUAUACGACUUAGCCUAUAUAAUGCGACUGUAGAAUUGAUUUUGUCCAUAGCCCCAAUAUAAGUCUCUUAUUUGCACUAGGUUCUGGUUAAACGAGAACUCAGGCCGUACCAGCUGUUUUGGGGCUGACAGACAAAUUUUAUAGGCCCGACAUGCAUACGAGUUCUGGGCAUGGACUGGCUCCUCACGUACAGCCAGCCAGCCAGCCAGCCAUGCCUACAGUCUUCUUAUAAAAGUCUCUACAUCUGUGUCUCUUCUACAUAUAAUAGGCUGCCUCAUGCUGCCCCGGUCCGGUCAUGGCCUUGGCCAGGACACAUUUGAACACCUUUAGAUAUGGUUAGUUAGGAUGGAGAGGGAAAAGAAAUGAUAAAACAACGUAUGGGAUUUUAAAAUAGAAAAAUGUAAGACGGCACAAAUCUCAAGGGAUCUGGCAUCAAAAGGAUUUGAAAUGGGCUUCUCAAAAAUUACACCCAUUAAUUCCAGUGCCUGCAAGAUUGAUUUGAUUCCUUCAAUAUGGACACAAGGACAGGUCAGUUGUCAGGGGCCAUUAUUUUUGAAAUAGCCACCAUUACUUUUUGACCUAAAAAUCCUUUGAACAGCAAAAGAGUAAAGGGGUAAACAAAGUUGGGUCCAUCUAUCCUUUUGACAAAGUGGCACAGGAAAAACCAAACUAUUUACCAUCUACAGGCAGUAAAAAUGUAAUAAAGAACCAAAUGGAAGCCUUGGAUUCUUCUAUUGCUAAUUAUUGCCCUAUCGUUUCAAGUUGGUAGUGCAAUUAUACAGCCAAUAAAUGGACCAACGGAGUCAAAGGACACCAUCAUAAAUAACAUGAACAAAGCAAGCGGAUAGAAUUAAAAAACUGAAAUAAAGAGAGUAGGGACUCUUGAUUCUGCCAAUAGACUUGAGCAUGUCUCAGUGACUAACACAUUUAAAAUAAGUCACACAUUUAGCACGAGCCACCCAAACAUGCUCUUAGUUCUUUAAGUGCUAUAGCUUUGGGAGCGAUGGAAUAUGGAUAAUAAUUUAGUAAUGCAAAGCGAGUCCUAAAGCUUUGCCAAACAUUAUUUUAGGCCAAAAAAGACUCUGUAGAAUGACAGUGUAGGAGCCCAUAGGCUCGAUACGUAGAAUGACUGUAAAAAACGGGUGUGUCAAGCCAACUCGAAACUGGGUUGUACAAACUUGAUUCGUUUACAAUCUAGUCAAAGGAUUGAAUGAGUGCCCUUAACAUUCAUCAAUAAGAUGCUGAUGCAUUUCCCAAAUGUGUUACUAAAAUGAUAAAGGCAAAGGAAUAUGAUAGCAAAUCAAAAGGAUGAGACUGCAAUGCUUGACAAAGUUAGCCACAUCAAGAAUAGGUUUGCUUUAUCGAUUCUCAUCCCAUUACAGACAAAAUAUGAACGAUUAAAGAUCUUUUCGAAACGGAAUCUAAUAUUCGACACCAAUACAUAAUGAAAUAGCUUCAAUCCCCAAACAAAGUGUUGAUCCGUUGAAAAUUAUACACAACUAAAUCCACAAAGUGCAUGUCUAGCACGUAGUAGUACCGAACAUUGAUCACGUUGACAAUACUAAAAUAGAACAAUUUAAAGUUGGCACGUAAGCAAUGUCCACUCACUGUAGGGAGCAAUUAGCACCUACUUGAUAUUAGUACAACGAUAAAUUUGGAGUUUAUGCGAUGUAAAGUUUUGAUAGAAAAUUUUAGUAAAAAAUAUUAAUAAAUGAAGCAUUUCUUGGCAUCCCAUUUUUCUUGCAACAAGUACACAUCUUCUGAAAAAAUAAAAAUGAAAAUUACUUUUCCUAUUAAAAAGGUAGAUUUGAAAUGGAGAUCUGAGUGGGGCCAUCUUGCAGCAGAACUCGAGUAAAGUUGUGUUUUUUAAAUCCACAAGAGCCAAGACAACAUAAGGCUCUCUUAACCAUACAAAAAACAGCAAAUUAAUGCGUGGCUCUCAUGAAAUGACAACAUCGUGUUUCUUAGCUCCCGUUUGAAUCACAUUAUUGCAAAAAUAAAAAUAAAAAAUAUAAUCGUUGUGGAUCUCACACAAAAGAUAAAAAGUUAAAUAUGAUGACUUAAUGUGAUGGAUAACGAUCAUAUUUUUCGUUUUAAUGAAAAAAUAAUAGGGUUCAAACAAAUGAAGCAUUUCUUGGCAUCCCAUUUUUCUUGCAACAAGUACAUCUUCUGAAAAAAUAAAAAUAAAAAUGAAAAUUACUUUUCCUAUUAAAAAAGGUCGAUUUGAAAUGGAGAUUGGAGUGGGGCCAUCUUGCACCAGAACUCGAGUAAAGUUGUAUUUUUUAAAUCCACAAGAGCCAAGACAACAUAAGGCUCUCUUAACCAUACAAAAAACAGCAAAUUAAUGCGUGGCUCUCAUGAAAUGACAACGUAGUAUUUCUUAACCCCUGUUUGAGUCGCAUUAUUGUAAAAACAAAAAUGAAAAAUAUAAUUAUUAUGAAUCUCACAUAAAAAAUAAAAAGUCAAAUAUGAUGAUUUGAUGUGAUGAAUAACGAUUAUAUUUUUUAUUUUAAAGAGAAAAUAUUGGGACUCAAACUGAGCCUUAAUAUGAUCUUUUUAAUUAAUUAAAUUCUUGGAUUUUUUUAUCAAGAUAAUAUAGACAUAUAUGAUAUAUAUCACGUACUAGUAACUCUAUUGUAAAUCAUACCUUGCACUUGCAGGGUAAGAACAGCCAGAUGAGCCUGUAAAUCAACCCAAAGAAGAGACAGUGAAUAGUAGUAAAACUUUCUAUGGUUAAAGACACUCCCAAGUCACAAAAUUUACAGCCAAAUUUCACUUUAAUCACCUAAUCUUCAUUUUUUGUCUCUUCAUCCAUCUCCAGUAAAUUGAAUGUGGCAGACAACAAUGAUUCUAACCCUACUGUACUCGGUGGCAAUAAAACUUUAGCACACAUUCUCACAAACGCGGUGAUCAGUACAAUAAACGAGAUUUUAGCUCUUGUUUUCUUUUAAUAUUCUGCACUAUGAAGUCCAUCUUAACAAACAUGCCAUUCCGGUCUGUAUAGACUUACUGGGAUCAGAUGUGACUGUGUAGGCAGUGCCUGAAAAAUCACAGGCUGUUGGGGUCUGGCCUUUCUUUUGGAAAUAACUGUUGACAGCAUAGUUGCAGUGAGCCCUCACAGUAUUUGGGUUAAAACAAGGUCCAUUUUGGUGGGUGGGGUUGCAAUCAGCCCCUGCACCACAUGCAUAAUCCAGUGUUUUUUGCAAGGCUUGAUCACUCAGUCCCUCCUUGCAAAUGCACCAAGUUGCA
rnacentral:lncRNA from 1 species